AUUGAACGCUGGCGGCAGGCCUAACACAUGCAAGUCGAGCGGGGUUUUCGGACCUAGCGGCGGACGGGUGAGUAAUGCGUAGGAAGCUGCCCGAUAGAGGGGGAUACCAGUUGGAAACGACUGUUAAUACCGCAUAAUGUCUACGGACCAAAGUGUGGGACCUUCGGGCCACAUGCUAUCGGAUGCGCCUACGUGGGAUUAGCUAGUUGGUGAGGUAAUGGCUCACCAAGGCGACGAUCCCUAGCUGGUUUGAGAGGAUGAUCAGCCACACUGGAACUGAGACACGGUCCAGACUCCUACGGGAGGCAGCAGUGGGGAAUAUUGGACAAUGGGCGCAAGCCUGAUCCAGCCAUGCCGCGUGUGUGAAGAAGGCCUUCGGGUUGUAAAGCACUUUCGGUAGGGAGGAAGGGUUAAGUGUUAAUAGUACUUAACUUUGACGUUACCUACAGAAGAAGCACCGGCUAACUCUGUGCCAGCAGCCGCAGUAAAAC
rnacentral:rRNA from 1 species